rnacentral:rRNA from 1 species
GACGAACGCUGGCGGCGUGCUUAACACAUGCAAGUCGAACGGAAAGGCCCUGCUUUUGUGGGGUGCUCGAGUGGCGAACGGGUGAGUAACACGUGAGUAACCUGCCCUUGACUUUGGGAUAACUUCAGGAAACUGGGGCUAAUACCGGAUAGGAGCUCCUGCUGCAUGGUGGGGGUUGGAAAGUUUCGGCGGUUGGGGAUGGACUCGCGGCUUAUCAGCUUGUUGGUGGGGUAGUGGCUUACCAAGGCUUUGACGGGUAGCCGGCCUGAGAGGGUGACCGGCCACACUGGGACUGAGAUACGGCCCAGACUCCUACGGGAGGCAGCAGUGGGGAAUAUUGCACUAUGGGCGGAAGCCUGAUGCAGCAACGCCGCGUGCGGGAUGACGGCCUUCGGGUGGUAAACCGCUUUCGCCUGUGACGAAGCGUGAGUGACGGUAAUGGGUAAAGAAGCACCGGCUAACUACGUG